GAGAUGCACAUGGACCUGGUCAUCCACUUGAUGUUUCCCAGUGCUCUGUGGUCCAGUUUUGAUGCUCACUGUCAUGGUCCGGUUCCUGGACUCACUUUGACUUAAGCUUGAAGCUUAAGCUUCUCUCUUGGACUCAGGAUACCUUACCCCCAUCUUGGAUAUCACUCUGUGCCCUCCUCCCACCUCACACCAUCAGGAACCUCCAAAUGUCAGUGACUUUGAGCACCACCCGAACCACAACCUGCACCCCAGAUUCCCCUUUAGCUCCCGGUUCAUGUCCACCACUCCUAGAGUCUGAUAUCCACCCAAGCUC